rnacentral:rRNA from 1 species
ACGGGGGGAGCAAGCGUUGUUCGGAUUUACUGGGCGUAAAGGGCGCGUAGGCGGCCAGCGCAAGUCGGUUGUGAAAUCUCCGGGCUUAACUCGGAAAGGUCAACUGAUACUGCGCGGCUAGAGUGCGGAAGGGGCAACUGGAAUUCUCGGUGUAGCGGUGAAAUGCGUAGAUAUCGAGAGGAACACCUGCGGCGAAGGCGAGUUGCUGGGCCGACACUGACGCUGAGGCGCGAAAGCUAGGGUAGCAAACGGGA